rnacentral:rRNA from 1 species
GAUGAACGCUGGCGGCGUGCCUAAUACAUGCAAGUCGAGCGAACAGACGAGGAGCUUGCUCCUCUGACGUUAGCGGCGGACGGGUGAGUAACACGUGGAUAACCUACCUAUAAGACUGGGAUAACUUCGGGAAACCGGAGCUAAUACCGGAUAAUAUAUUGAACCGCAUGGUUCAAUAGUGAAAGACGGUUUUGCUGUCACUUAUAGAUGGAUCCGCGCCGCAUUAGCUAGUUGGUAAGGUAACUGCUUACCAAGGCAACUAUGCGUAGCCGACCUGAGAGGGUGAUCGGCCACACUGGAACUGAGACACGGUCCAGACUCCUACGGGAGGCAGCAGUAGGGAAUCGUCCGCAAUGGGCGAAAGCCUGACGAAGCAACGCCGCGUGAGUGAUGAAGGUCUUCGGAUCGUAAAACUCUGUUAUUAGGGAAGAACAAAUGUGUAAGUAACUAUGCACGUCUUGACGGUACCUAAUCAGAAAGCCACGGCUAACUACGUG